rnacentral:rRNA from 1 species
UUAUGACGAUACUAUGCCUGAGAAUGCCUGAUCUUGUUUAAUCUUUUCUAAUCUCGGAAGCUAAACAGGGUUGAGCCUGGUUAGCAUUUGGAUGGGAGACUGCUGGGAAUACCAGGUGCUACAUGGA